rnacentral:lncRNA from 1 species
CCUAAGUAAGACAUCGCCUGAGUAAGACAUCGCCCGAAGAGUCAACCCGCAUGACGUAAGCAUUUCACAGAGAGGGGGCCCACACGAUGGGAUAACCCUAAGUUGGGUGGCGGCACUGUGGGUCCCUAUGCACAGAAUAAAUGAUCAAGUCAAAAGGGCACAUGGUAAUGCCCACGUGCUCAUUGAAGGUACCCAGGGAAGGCUGCAUGCAUGACGCGUGUCCAAUUAGGGGAUUCGAACAGUAUGAUGGCGCGAUAAAUACAGCGCUCAAGUUAGAGCCCAAGGGGCCAGAAGGUUAUACAUUGCACUCCAAGAUAAGGGAAGUCCAUGGGCCAGAUACGCUAAGAUCCUAAAGAUAGCGGCGCAAGGACCUUCUCCAAGGAACCCUAGAUAAU